GACGAACGCUGGCGGCGUGCUUAACACAUGCAAGUCGAACGAAGAGCGAUGGAAGCUUGCUUCUAUCAAUCUUAGUGGCGAACGGGUGAGUAACGCGUAAUCAACCUGCCCUUCAGAGGGGGACAACAGUUGGAAACGACUGCUAAUACCGCAUACGAUCUAAUCUCGGCAUCGAGGAUAGAUGAAAGGUGGCCUCUACAUGUAAGCUAUCACUGAAGGAGGGGAUUGCGUCUGAUUAGCUAGUUGGAGGGGUAACGGCCCACCAAGGCGAUGAUCAGUAGCCGGUCUGAGAGGAUGAACGGCCACAUUGGGACUGAGACACGGCCCAGACUCCUACGGGAGGCAGCAGUGGGGAAUCUUCCGCAAUGGACGAAAGUCUGACGGAGCAACGCCGCGUGAGUGAUGACAGCCUUCGGGUUGUAAAGCUCUGUUAAUCGGGACGAAAGGCCUUCUUGCGAAUAGUGAGAAGGAUUGACGGUACCGGAAUAGAAAGCCACGGCUAACUACGUG
rnacentral:rRNA from 1 species